CUGAGCCAAACCAGUUAGGGCCCCAUCCUUAUUUUAAAAGGAAAUAAAGAAUACAACACAAUUUGACCAUAAUGGAGACCCAUCAUCCAAAAAAUAUCCUAAAUCUCACCACUUCACAAAGUCUUUCUAGGCUGCUCCCAUGCAGGGACAUUUCUGCUUUUUGAUGUGAUUGGUCGUCUUUGUAUGAUUCUUCUUCCACUCUCUCUAAAAUCCCAAUGGGAGGGGUACACACAAUGUAGUGAUUUUCACUGUUUGGCUUAAAAUGUUCCCCAAAUUCAGAGAACAUUUAAUGCUUUUUGUUGUUGUUGUUCAUUGUAGAAGAUGCUAACAGUAUUGACAGCAUUAUUACAAUAGAAUAUUUGAAGGGCAUUGGGGUUAUUGAAUUGAAACAAGCUGAUAUCUACAAAUCUAGUUUGGAAUGGAGGUCAUUCAGGAUUUAAUCCCAGGAUCAUUUAAUUUGUGUAACUGUCCUCCUUGUGCUUCUUCAGUAAGAGCAAGAAAGAAAAAAAAAAUCACACUUGGUUGUGGAGAGGUGGGCAGCAUGUGCCCAGGGACUGAAACAAGGUCAGCUCAAGGUUUAUUCGCUACUCUUUGGAUCUCUUAGUGUAUAGUAACAUUUUAGUUUUUGAAAUUAUUCUCAACUUUGGGAAGCUGUAUCUGUCCCUUAGGCACGACAAUAUCAGUUCUCUAAAUAUGAUAAAUUAUAUAUUUUUUCAGAGUAGAUAUUCACAUUCUUUGACACAGCUGCACAGUCAGUUUGGAGUUCUAAAGAAGAGACUUUUUCUUUCAGCAAGCAGGAACAAGAACCCUUGGAGAGGGUCAAGCUGUAGUUAUUCAUUGCGAUGCGACAAAUUUUUUGUUUUGUUUAUUACAUAAUUGUUGAAUGUCCACUGUGCCCUGGAAUCACAGAAGUUGGAGGCAUUAAAGCAAUUGGAGGUGCAUGAUUGAAUGAACAUUGGAUGGUUAAAAAACUUUUUUGGUCUGGACUCUUACCAAUGAUAAACUUUGAGUAGGAGUUAUCCACUUAACCUCAGUGGACUUUGGAAAGGAUUAAAAGAAAUAACCACGUGAAAGCAUUUGGAAAAACAGUUUUUACACAAACAUAAGGCAGUCAUAUUAUUAGAGAUGAGUUUGAGAUAACCAGCAACGGGCAUGUUGGUUAUAUUCCAAACUCUAGCAAUUGGAUUAGUCAUUCUCUAAUAUGUAACCCAUAACUUGAAUUUGCAAAGUGCUUGUAGCUGUUUGUAUUUUUUUGUUUUUGAGUGUCUAUUACUUGCAUCACUAUGAAUGAAACAAAAAUGUGUAUAAAUACUUAAAAAAAACCUUA